UACGAAGGGUGCAAACGUUGCUCGGAAUCAUUGGGCGUAAAGCGCACGUAGGCGGCCUUGUAAGUCGGAUGUGAAAUCCCACGGCUCAACCGUGGACGUGCAUUCGAAACUGCUCGGCUCGAGUAUGGAAGAGGGUCGCGGAAUUCCCGGUGUAGAGGUGAAAUUCGUAGAUAUCGAGAGGAACACCAGUGGCGAAGGCGGCGACCUGGGCCAAUACUGACGCUGAGGUGCGAAAGCGUGGGGAGCAAACAGG
rnacentral:rRNA from 1 species